GGGGAUGUCACGGUUUCGACAUGAAUUAUUAAUCUUUAAAUGCAGCAGGGUAAGCCCUUUAUAGCUGUCGAGGCUAAUAAAUGCUAAGAAAAAUAACAACGAAGCUAUUGAUGUAGAAUUAAACGACUUUGAAAUCAAUGCUUUAAGCCAACAAGCUAAUUUAGCUUUAUACGCUUAAUUACAAUUGGUAAUAAGCUUAUAUCUUUUUCUAGGCAGGUGUAAGUGUUUAAUAACUAGAUAGCUAAUUAGAUUCCUGUGAUAAUUAGUGAAAGUUCGUUAGGAUUACUUUUAAUAAUAGAUUGUUCCAAUUCUUUAGUUAAAAGGAAAUUUAAAUUUGGAACUAAGCUGUAGACUUUACUGUAUUGUAAUUUGUGGAAACGGGUUCGACUCCCGUCAUCUCCACCA
rnacentral:tmRNA from 1 species